rnacentral:lncRNA from 1 species
GUCGGCGAGCCCGCGGUGGGGGUCCCCGCGCCGCCCAGGCCUACCCCGGCUCCUUGGGAUAGAUGGGGAAGCUGAGGCCCAGAAGGGGGCUGAGACCACCUCCCAGUUUCCCCAGUGAGGUGGCGCCUGAGCCACGGCCAGGCCCGGCCUCCUUCCACCCGGCCCUGCUGUGCGCGCGGCGGGUGCUGACCUGGCGAGGCCGGACAGGGGACCAGGUCGGGGUGACCGUCACUGACACCUGGACAGUCCUCGUUGUGUUCGGGGUGGGAAGCCCACGGAAGACAUCAACACAGGAGACUCCCAAGACUGCUGGGGCCAAAUGUGGCAGGUGGACGUCUCCCCGCCACCGAGCAAGCCAUCAGUUCUGCAGCGGACACCAGCCGAGUGUCCUCCAACACCAUUCCGGUACCUGCAGAUAGCGUCAGAUCCAGACACCUACACACACACACACACACACACACACACACACAUAUGCACACACAUGAGCUGCGAGGGCCAGCCUCUGGAACUUCUUACCGACUGGCCCGACGUUGAGGUUCCCACUGUUAGAGGAACGCUUGCUCACCAGGCCUCUGGUUUAAUGAAACAUGACCAGAGUGACUCCAUCUUGAAGUGAGUAGGAGGCACUCACAAGGCACCUAUAAGGUUAAUGCUUAUGGUCUAAAAAUAGCCAUGUCUCAAGCUGGACACCAAUUAUAAUUACAGAAUAUUUGUGGCCAUAUGGGGCAUCUCCCAGCAAGCCCGCAGACUGUCCAGAUA